rnacentral:rRNA from 1 species
AACGAACGCUGGCGGCAUGCCUAACACAUGCAAGUCGAACGAGACCUUCGGGUCUAGUGGCGCACGGGUGCGUAACGCGUGGGAACCUGCCCUUAGGUUCGGAAUAACUCCCCGAAAGGGGUGCUAAUACCGGAUAAUGUCUUCGGACCAAAGAUUUAUCGCCUUUGGAUGGGCCCGCGUUGGAUUAGCUAGUUGGUAGGGUAAAAGCCUACCAAGGCGACGAUCCAUAGCUGGUCUGAGAGGAUGAUCAGCCACACUGGGACUGAGACACGGCCCAGACUCUUACGGGAGGCAACAGUGGGGAAUAUUGGACAAUGGGCGAAAGCCUGAUCCAGCAAUGCCGCGUGAGUGAUGAAGGACUUAGGGUUGUAAAGCUCUUUUAACCGGGAUGAUAAUGACAGUACCGGGAGAAUAAGCUCCGGCUAACUCCGUG